rnacentral:rRNA from 1 species
ACAUAUGACCAUACCCACUGGAAAACUCGGGAUCCCGUCCGCUCUCCCAUAGAUAAGCCAGUGAGAGCCAGAUUAGUAGUUGGGUCGGUGACGACCAGCGGAUACCUGGCGUUGUAUGUU